rnacentral:lncRNA from 1 species
UUGAAUUCCUGUCCUGACUUCCUUUGGUGAUGAACAGCAAUGUGGAAGUUAAAUAUAUUGGAGUGAAAACUCAAGACACAACAGAAGUAAUCACCAUAAACUGCUGAAUACCUGGAUCACAAGAACCAUCCUUAUCUCUUCCGCAUUGUACACUCAGCAAGCUGACGGCAGUCUUUGUGAUUGAGGACCAGUCCCAAAGAGAAGCAAGAAGUACUGACAGAAUUAAGUUUGAAUUCUUCAGAACUCUUCGGAUCGGGCUGUCACCUGGAGGGUGGCCCAACUAGUCUGUCUUGAAGUUCCCUUAA